GACGAACGCUGGCGGCGUGCUUAACACAUGCAAGUCGAGCGGUAAGGCCCUUCGGGUACACGAGCGGCGAACGGGUGAGUAACACGUGGGUGACCUGCCCUCAGCUCUGGGAUAAGCCCGGGAAACUGGGUCUAAUACCGGAUAUGACCUUCUGUCGCAUGACGGUUGGUGGAAAGUUCUUCGGCUGGGGAUGGCCCGCGGCCUAUCAGCUUGUUGGUGGGGUGAUGGCCUACCAAGGCGGNGACGGGUAGCCGGCCUGAGAGGCGACCGGCCACACUGGGACUGAGACACGG
rnacentral:rRNA from 1 species